UGCGCCCUCUCAUGGAUGACGUUCUUUUGCGGUACAAAAUAGUCGUCAAACAUUUUCAGCACGGCAUCAAAGUCGCUUUCACUUCCUCGAGUGGGGAACGCGUACGAUUUCAUAACGUUCUCCGCCUCAUACCCCAUGGAAUAUAUCAGAGUGGACACUUGGACAUCGCCAGCUUCCUCGCCUAGCUUGGUCGCCGUCCGAUAACGCAGGAACUUUUGUCUCCAGCAUGGCCACUCUCCGGGUUUAUCGGAGCAGAAACUCUCCGGCGGUUUGAAGUUCGGCAUGAUCACUGUGCGGGUCUCUUCUCUAUCCGGACCACUUCUGACACCAUGUCAGGAAAGGAGGGAAGACUCUUGGUGUUUAACACGGGGUACUUUAUUCCAGCCUCAAACUCUCUCUAUGAAUGUGUGUCUCUCUCUCAGCGCGUCUCUUGUUUUCCGGGUCUGGUGACCUUCCCGCUUCGUCACAUUCAUCAACGGUGCAACUCCAACCGUACAACACUACUAAACAAAUAUGCAUCCAUGACAGACUCAUAUCUGAUCUGGUCUCGCAAAGGCAACAGCAGAAGUCAUGCUGAUUUUCAGAUGGCGGCAGCCGGGCUGAGCAAGGGCCCGUCACGAGUCGGCCGCUGCGGUGACAAAUCAUCUGAUGGUAGCCGUAGGAUAAGCGGAGGAGGACGUGGCCCGACGCGACGGUGUUCCCCAAGCAACAUUCGAUGGUCCAGAUCCAACGCUCUGGCAAGCCUCACGUGAGCCCCACGCCGCAGCUUUCGCACACCUGCUUCACCUCAAGGUACACGUUCUUCUCCACUGAUUCACGCUGCCGUUAUUUUAUGAUAAUAGACUCGAAGGCCAACCUGCUUGUUGAUAUUCCAAGUAGCACAAAAACAAAGAGCAAGAUUCUCACAGUCAUUUCCCGGUCUUUCCCGCGGCCGGUGCUGCCGGGCCUCAAAUAAAGAUGGAUGGGCCUCGGGAGUGCGUGAAGGUCCCGGGAUGAUGAACUCGCUGUAGCUUAAAAGUGUGUACUGAAACAUUCAUGCCACCAUUCAGGCCCACUUUAGGGCCAGGGGGCCAGCAAACUGGCGUGAAUAUCGGUCAAUAUUCGCAGAGCGCGUGAGCAACAGUUUUCAAAGUAAAUGUCAGUGAAAUAAAAUAGACAUGACAAGUGCACGCAGACAAGUCGUCGGGUCUCCUCCGCCAUCCUGACUGCAUCAUUCGUGCUUGCACCAUUGCCAAUCUGCAGGCGGCUCCCGUAUCGACGUGCGUGUAAGUGCGCGUGCGUGCGCUUGAUAUCAUAGCAUGCAAACGAGGUGCUGUGAAGCUGCAGGCUAUCAUCUUGAUAUUCCCUCCACGCACGCACACACACAUGGCUUCUUUCUUAGUGAGUCUCUGUCAGCACAAUUUCAAAUUCAUUACAGAAAAGCCUGUUUACCACACUGGUACUUAUGCACACACACACGCACGCACACACGCACACACACACACACACACACACACACACACACACACACACACACACACACACACACACACACACACACACACACACACACACACACACACACACACACACCUUUCACACACAAUCACAUUCACACACUCAAACACUCACCCAUGUACAUUACACACACCUGCUCUCACAUCCUUAGACCAAACGUGUGCCUAUACAUACC